rnacentral:lncRNA from 1 species
UUCUCAGUGUUUGGAAAAUCAUUCAAGGAAUGCCUUGAACAUUUGGAAAAAGUGUUACAGCGGUGUGAAGACACAAACCUUGUAUUAAAUUGGGAAAAAUGUCAUUUCAUGGUUCAGGAAGGGAUAGUGUUAGGACAUUUAAUUUCAGCACGAGGUAUUGAGGUUGAUAGAGCUAAGAUACAAGUCAUCAAAAAACUACCACCGCCAGUAACAGUAAAAGGAGUUAGAAGUUUCCUGGGUCACGCUGGGUUCUACCGUCGCUUCAUCAAAGACUUUUCCAAAAUCUCGAAGCCAUUGUGCAAUUUACUGGAAAAAGCGGCCCCAUUUCACUUUUCUGAGGAUUGCUUGACAGCUUUCAACACCUUAAAAGAAAAAUUGGUUUCUGCUCCAGUAUUGGCUUCUCCAGAUUGGAAUUAUCCGUUCGAGCUUAUGUGUGAUGCCAGUGAUCACGCAGUGGGCGCAGUGUUGGGUCAACGAAAGGAGAAAAGUUCUCAUGUGAUUCACUAUGCCAGUAAGACUUUGGAUGAGGCUCAAAUGAAUUAUGCGACUACAGAGAAAGAGCUGUUGGCAGUAGUGUUCGCCGUUGACAAAUUCAGAUCAUACUUGAUUGGGUCAAAAGUGAUUGUCUAUACAGAUCAUUCAGCAUUAAAAUAUCUAAUGAGCAAGAAGGAUGCAAAGCCGAGACUUAUUCGUUGGAUACUCCUAUUGCAAGAGUUUGAUCUGGAAAUUAGAGAUAAAAAGGGGAGUGAGAAUGUUGUGGCAGAUCACCUCUCACGCCUUGAAUCACAUGAGUCAAAUCCUACAUUGGAGAUCAAUGAAGUCUUUCCUGAUGAAAUGCUCUUUCAGAUUAUCACUACACCAUGGUACGCCGAUUAUGUCAAUUAUUUGGCCCGCUCCAUCAUCCCACCAGACUACUCGAGUCACCAAAAGAAGAAAUUCUUCAGUGACCUAAAACACUACUUUUGGGAUGAUCCAAUUCUUUACAGAAGGGGUCCAAAUCAGAUCAUACGCCGUUGUGUGCCAGAGGUGGAGCAGCAUCAAGUAUUAGAGUCAUGUCACUCUGCACCGUAUGGGGGCCACUUCGCAGCAACCAAGACAGCAACAAAGGUACUGCAAUCGGGUUUUUAUUGACCUACGUUGUUCAAGGACACCCACUAUAUGGUGAAACAUUGUGAUAAGUGCCAAAGGACUGGAAAUAUCUCAAAGAGGAACGAGAUGCCUUUGAACAGUAUCUUGGAGGUUGAAAUAUUCGAUGUUUGGGGCAUUGACUUCAUGGGACCAUUUCCUCCAUCCUAUGGUCAACAAUAUAUAUUAGUGGCAGUGGACUACGUGUCUAAGUGGGUUGAAGCUAUAACUUUACCAACUAACAAUGGUCGAGUGGUAACUCAAUUCCUGAAGAAGAAUAUUUUCACAAGGUAUGGCACCCCGAGGGCAAUUAUUAGUAAUGGUGGAAAGCAUUUUUGUAACCGCUUAUUUGCUUCUUUAUUGGCCAAAUAUGGAGUGAAACAUCGUGUCUCAACUCCAUACCACCCUCAAACUAGCGGGCAAGUGGAAAUCUCCAACAGGGAGUUAAAGAAGAUUCUUGAAGCCACGAUCAACGCAUCACGUAAGGAUUGGGCUAAGAAAUUGGAUGAAGCACUUUGGGCGUAUAGAACAACAUUUAAGACUCCAAUUGGCAUGUCUCCAUAUCGACUGGUAUUUGAAAAUGCUUGUCAUCUGUCGAUUGAGUUAGAGCAUAAAGCAUACUGGGCGACACACUUGCUAAAUUUCAAUAUGAAAGCAGCAGGAGAAAAGAGGGUUCUACAACUUCAUGAGCUAGAUGAGUUUCGUUUGGAUUCGUAUGAGAAUGCAAAGAGUUACAAGGAAAAGACCAAGAAAUGGCACGACAGACAUAUAAGGGAGAAGGAGUUUGAGAUUGGUCAACAAGUAUUGAUGUUCAAUUCACGCCGCAAGCUUCUUCUGGGAAAGCUAAAGUCUAGGUGGUCGGGUCCAUUCACAGUAGUAGCUGUGUUUCCACAUGGUGCUGUGGAAGUGGUGUCUCAAGAUCAACAAAGGAGGUUCAAAGUAAAUGGACAACGGUUGAAAGCUUAUUGGGGAGGUGACUACUCCACUGAAAAAACAACCGUACCACUUGAUAAUGUAGAGUAGCCAGGACAACAAAGUCUAGCUAAAGACUAUAAAUUAAGCGCUUAUUGGGAGGCAACCCAAAUUCUAAACCUUUUAUUUUAUUUUGUUUUCUGCAUCGCAUUACAUAUAGAUUUGUUUUAAUUAUUAGUUGCAUUAGAUUUAGACACGUUUAAAUUUAUAGACUAUCAUCAUCCGAUCAUAUUUUCAUUGAUGCUCUUAAAUAUAAUGUUGGUUAUUUCGAGUGUUUGGGCUAAGUAACGCAUGUUUGGAUUUUUUUAUCUCUACUGUUUGAUUUGAUUUCCAUAUGCAGGAACAUGACGUCGUAGAACACUCAAACCAAUAUCGACCAAGGGGAAAGUAUGAUGAGAAAGAUUGUCUAACCGUCACCUACAGUAUCUUCCACAUUUAAUAGAAAAAUUUGGGGAGUACCUUCGUCCUUUUCUUCCCCAUCCCCUUAUAUUCUUAAUUAUAUUUUAAGACAUUGAAGACAAUGUCAGACUUAGUUUGGGGGUGGGAAACACUUUGUGUUUUUGGUUUUCGUAUGUUUUCGUGCGUUGUUUACAUAUGUUAAAAAAAAUCGUUAAAUUUUUAUUUAUUUUUACUUAUUUUUUUUAUUGUGUGCUUGUGUGGGUUAGACGGUUUGGCUGACAAUGAUGAUUAAAUUUGAGAUUUGGCGUUGAUUUAUGAACUGUGGAUAGGAAGCAUGCUAGACUGAUUGAAACUUGAACUUGCAAAACUUGAUAUUAUACAUGCACUAGAACUGAGCUGACAUUAUGAUGAAAUGAGUUGAUUCAUGCACUUGAUAGAUUGAAUUAGUUGGACAUAGAUACUUUACCAAAAACUAAACUAAUUAUUUAUCCUUAGACCAAAUUCAGUACAGUUUGGGAAGAUCUUGCUGUUGCAGGAAAAUAAAGAUGCGAAUGUGGAUUUCUUGUGUGAAAAAAUUUUGUGUGGAUUGUUUGAAAUUAAUAGGAAAAAAUUGGGUGAAAGUCUUAAAUAGGAGGUCAAUUUGCUUGAAUACGUGUGUGAUAAGGGACAUUGCACUAAUCAAGGCAUAUAUUUUGAAAUUUAAUUUGAGCUUUUAUGACUCGGGCAAUUAAGUAUGCAAGGGUAUCUUAAAACCUGGUGCCCUAAAGUCAUCUGACUUGGGAGUCAUCGGCCUAAAGCUCGUUACAGAGGUCGUUUAAAAAGCAAUCGGAGAGAAAAUUGCCCUAAAAAAUUGUUCUCUUCGAAGCCUUUUUAACUCGGGUUAUUAAGCCUAUAAGGGUAUUUGAAAACCUGGUGCCCUAAAGUCAUCUGAUUUGGGAGUCAUCAGCCUAAAAUUUGCUACAUGGGUCAUCUAGAAAGCUUAAGGCAGAGUGCAAAAAAAAAGCACUAAAUGCCUUGUAAGUCCCAACACUUGUUCGAGGAAAUUUAACUUUUGAUAAAGGAUAAUUAGCCUAAUUGAAUCUCGAUGGUCGAAGCAAUCAAAUAAUUGGAAAAUCCUUGUUCAUUGAUGUGUUGACUUGCAACUAGUGACGUCCACCUGAAUUGGAGAGAGUGAGGAUAGUAAUGAAAAAUCCAAUCUUAGAUCACACACUGGGAAAAAGAGUGAAAAAGAAUAAGUUUGGGGGAGAGUGAAUCUUACAGAGAUGAAAAGAUAUAUUUGACCAUAGAGGAUCGGGAAUUGGAACAACUUGUGAAUUCAUUAAUGUCUACUUAGUUCUUCACACACACGUGUCAGUUUUGCAUUGGAAAAGUGGAUAUUAGUUUGGUAUUGUAACUUUGAAGUAGUUUGUAGAUUUAACGCCGUGAUUUCAAAUCCUGAGGUAAAAAGCUGAACGGUCCAACCAAACAUUUUGGCAUGCUUGUGUGUUUGAUAUUAUUUAGGUUAUAUUUUUGUUUGAGGACAAACAAAUGUCUAAGUUUGGGGGUGUUUGAUAAGUAUAUUUUAUAUACUUAUUCGUGACUCUAAAAUAGCGAUAUUUAAUAAGGCUAAAUAUAUUCCUAAAUUGUUGUUUUUAUGUUUAAUAGGUGGAUUUCUACGAAUAAAAAGGAAUGAAAGGAAAGAAGCAAAAACGGGUGAAAUUAGCAAAAUCCCAAGUACGUGGAUUAAAUUGGUCAUUG